ACAGAAAAGACAAGAAGAUACCCACAAGGAAAUGCAAACUAACACUGGACUUCUCAUUAACAUCACCACUACAAGAAGUUAAUGGCAUAAUAUCUUCAACACACAGAAACAAAACUGUGAAUCUGGAGUUUUAUACUCAGUUAUAUUAUCAUUUAAGAAAUUUUCAAACAUACAAAGAGUACUACUGUUUAUUAGACACAGAUACUUGUUAAUGAUAUAAUUUUCUUUUGAUAGGAGUUCAACAGGGUUGAAGCAAGACACAUUCAAAGAAUGAAGGUCAAAGCUGGGAAGUCUUCCAUGAGGCAACACUGUGAUGUAGCAAUAGGAGUGAAGAAUCAAGUUAUGAAGUUAAUAAAAUGAGGUGGAUUAGAAACUUAAAAGGAUGGCAGCCAAUCCACAGGAUGGGCCAGGUGGUGCCAUGGCAGUUUCUUUCACCAAAACAUGCAGACACGCAGAGGGGAACUGUGGCUAAUACCCUCAGUCCUCUAUGCAGGGCAAUCAGGGACUACUUGAAGACCCUGAUGAAACAAUGCCUGUUAUAUGAAAUGAUUACAGAAGAGUGGGGCCAGUGCUUUUCCUGACAGGCACUCACUUGUGCUGCCAUCCUCAGCAGGGCCAUGUAGGCUGACUGGUUACAAGCCCUCAGUCGCUCUCCAGUGUCUGGGAAGAACAUUCUAUGUAUCAAGCCAAAGAUGACACUGAGACCUUGCAAUUAACUUGUGAAGUUCAGUGCAGA